rnacentral:rRNA from 1 species
GAUGAACGCUGGCGGCGUGCCUAAUACAUGCAAGUCGAGCGAAGCGAGAGCGGGUGCGUAACACUUGGAUACCCUCCUAUAAGACUGGGAUAACUUCGGGAAACCAGAGCUAAACCUGAUACUUAUAUGUGGAUCCGCGAUGCAUUAGCUAGUUGGUAAGUUAACGGCGUACCAAGGCAACGAUGCAUAGCCGACCUGGGAGGGUGAUCGGCCACACUGGAACUGAGACACGGUCCAGACUACUACGGUAGGCAGCAGUAGGGAAUCUUCCGCAAUGGGCGAAAGCCUGACGGAGCAACGCCGCGUGAGUGAUGAAGGUCUUCGGAUCGUAAAACUCUGUUAUUAGGGAAGCGGUAUCUAAUCAGAAAGCCACGGCUAACUACGUGCCAGCAGCCGCGGUAAUUC